GACGAACGCUGGCGGCGUGCUUAACACAUGCAAGUCGAACGGAGAGGCCCUGCUUGCAGGGUACUCGAGUGGCGAACGGGUGAGUAACACGUGGGUGAUCUGCCCUGCACUUCGGGAUAAGCCUGGGAAACUGGGUCUAAUACCGGAUAGGAGCCAUUUUUAGUGUGAUGGUUGGAAAGUUUUUUCGGUGUAGGAUGAGCUCGCGGCCUAUCAGCUUGUUGGUGGGGUAAUGGCCUACCAAGGCGGCGACGGGUAGCCGGCCUGAGAGGGUGGACGGCCACAUUGGGACUGAGAUACGGCCCAGACUCCUACGGGAGGCAGCAGUGGGGAAGAUUGCACAAUGGGCGCAAGCCUGAUGCAGCGACGCCGCGUGGGGGAUGACGGCCUUCGGGUUGUAAACUCCUUUCGCUAGGGACGAAGCUUUUUGUGACGGUACCUAGAUAAGAAGCACCGGCUAACUACGUG
rnacentral:rRNA from 1 species